GAUGAACGCUAGCGAUAGGCUUAACACAUGCCAGUCGAGGGGCAGCAUGGUCUUAGCUUGCUCAGGCUGAUGGCGACCGGCGCACGGGUGCGUAACGCGUAUGCAACUUGCCUCACAGAGGGGGAUAACCCGUCGAAAGACGGACUAAUACCGCGUACACUCUAUGUUGGGCAUCCAAUGUAGAGGAAAUGAAAUUCGCUGUGAGAUAGGCAUGCGUCCCAUUAGCUAGUUGGUGAGGUAACGGCUCACCAAGGCGACGAUGGGUAGGGGAACUGAGAGGUUGAACCCCCACACUGGUACUGAGACACGGACCAGACUCCUACGGGAGGCAGCAGUGAGGAAGAUUGGUCAAGGGGCGAGAGCCUGAACCAGCCAAGUCGCGUGAAGGAUGACUGUCUUAUGGAUUGUAAACUUCUUUUAUACGGGAAUAACAAGAGUCACGUGUGGCUCCCUGCAUGUACCGUAUGAAUAAGCAUCGGCUAACUCCGUG
rnacentral:rRNA from 1 species